GAGUAGGGCGGGACACGUGGUAUCCUGUCUGAAUAUGGGGGGACCAUCCUCCAAGGCUAAAUACUCCUGACUGACCGAUAGUGAACCAGUACCGUGAGGGAAAGGCGAAAAGAACCCCGGCGAGGGGAGUGAAAAAGAACCUGAAACCGUGUACGUACAAGCAGUGGGAGCACAGAGCAAUCUGUGUGACUGCGUACCUUUUGUAUAAUGGGUCAGCGACUUAUAUUCUGUAGCAAGGUUAACCGAAUAGGGGAGCCGAAGGGAAACCGAGUCUUAACUGGGCGUUAAGUUGCAGGGUAUAGACCCGAAACCCGGUGAUCUAGCCAUGGGCAGGUUGAAGGUUGGGUAACACUAACUGGAGGACCGAACCGACUAAUGUUGAAAAAUUAGCGGAUGACUUGUGGCUGGGGGUGAAAGGCCAAUCAAACCGGGAGAUAGCUGGUUCUCCCCGAAAGCUAUUUAGGUAGCGCCUCGUGAAUUCAUCUCCGGGGGUAGAGCACUGUUUCGGCAAGGGGGUCAUCCCGACUUACCAACCCGAUGCAAACUGCGAAUACCGGAGAAUGUUAUCACGGGAGACACACGGCGGGUGCUAACGUCCGUCGUGAAGAGGGAAACAACCCAGACCGCCAGCUAAGGUCCCAAAGUCAUGGUUAAGUGGGAAACGAUGUGGGAAGGCCCAGACAGCCAGGAUGUUGGCUUAGAAGCAGCCAUCAUUUAAAGAAAGCGUAAUAGCUCACUGGUCGAGUCGGCCUGCGCGGAAGAUGUAACGGGGCUAAACCAUGCACCGAAGCUGCGGCAGCGACGCUUAUGCGUUGUUGGGUA
rnacentral:rRNA from 1 species